CCCAGCCUUUUAUGUCGGGCUACACAACUUUCUAGGGGUACAUUAGGCCCUCACUUUAGAAGCAAAGGUACCCAAACAGAGUCUUUCAUCACAAGUACGAGUAUUGCCACAAGUACUUUGGAUGCACCGUGGGGGCCUGUACACUCUACACCCAUUAAGUCUGUUGUUCCAAGGGCAGCUAAAAGACCUUAGAUGAAGAGGAGGAGGAGGAUGAAGAGAGUGACCACUGCACAGUACCAACUGAACCCCAGUCCUCCACCUAUGAUCCAGCUCAGUCAAUAAGCAGUGUAAUAGAACCAUCACAGAUUACUGAUACAUCUUCAACAACUCGGACCUUUCUCCCUAAAUAACCCCAGCACCAGCUUACAAAUGACCUGUAGGCCAGAUGUCUGCAUCGCCUAGUAAACAGAGAAAUUUGUAAAUUCUGAACAGUGUUUCGAUGUUAUUAUUUUGUUUUGCCUUAUUUUUCAAUUCUACUCUAUGUAAAUAUAAUAAAAAGGUAUUUAAUUUGACAAUGGA